rnacentral:rRNA from 1 species
GUAGAACGCUGGCGGCAGGCCUAAUACGUGCAAGUCGAACGGCAGUAGUAGCAAUACUAUGAGAGUGGCGCACGGGUGAGUAACACGUACAUAAUCUGCCGAGUACUGGGGGAAAGUCUAGGGAAACUUGGAAUAAUCCCGCAUAAGUUCUUCGAGUGGCAUCGCUUGAAGAAGAAAGCCGUAAGGUGGUACUUGAUGAAUGUGCGUCUGAUUAGCUAGUUGGUUAGGUAACGGCUGACCAAGGCGACGAUCAGUAGGGGGCGUGAGAGCGUGUACCCCCACACGGGUACUGAGACACGGACCCGACUCCUACGGGAGGCAGCAGUAAGGAAUAUUGGUCAAUGGGCGAAAGCCUGAACCAGCCAUGCCGCGUGAAGGAUGAAGGCGUUACGCGUUGUAAACUUCUUUUGUAUAGGAAGAAUGGUCGAGAUUCAUCUCGAAAGCGACGGUACUGUACGAAUAAGCACCGGCUAACUCUGUGCCAGCAGCCGCGGUAAUACAGAGGGUGCAAGCGUUAUCCGGGAUUACUGGGUUUAAAGGGUACGUAGGCGGUUAAUUAAGUCAGCAGUGAAAGCCUGUCGCUCAACGACGGAUGUGCUGUUGAUACUGGUUAACUUGAAAUGGGUUAGGGUUGGCGGAAUGGGUCAUGUAGUGGUGAAAUGCUUAGAUAUGACUUGGAACACCGAAAGCGAAGGCAGCUGACCGAACCUUGUUUGACGCUGAGGUACGAAAGUGUGGGUAGCGAACAGGAUUAGAUACCCUGGUAGUCCACACCCUAAACUAUGCAGACUGGAUGUUGGGCGGCAAUAGUUCAGCAUCUGAGGGAAACCAUUAAGUCUGCCACCUGGGGAGUACGCCGGCAACGGUG